AGGACGAACGCUGGCGGCGUGCUUAACACAUGCAAGUCGAGCGGAAAGGCCCUUCGGGGUACUCGAGCGGCGAACGGGUGAGUAACACGUGAGCAACCUGCCCUCAGCUCUGGGAUAGCUCCGGGAAAACCGGAAUUAAUACCGGAUAUGACCCUGACUGACAUCGGUCAGGGUGGAAAGGAUUCCGGCUGAGGAUGGACUCGCGGCCUAUCAGCUAGUUGGUGGAGUAACGGCCCACCAAGGCGACGACGGGUAGCCGGCCUGAGAGGGCGACCGGCCACACUGGGACUGAGACACGGCCCAGACUCCUGCGGGAGGCAGCAGUGGGGAAUAUUGCGCAAUGGGCGAAAGCCUGACGCAGCGACGCCGCGUGGGGGAUGAAUGCCUUCGGGUUCGUAAACCCUUUCAGCAGGGACGAAGCGAGAGUGACGGUACCUGCAGAAGAAGCGCCGGCUAACUACGUGCCAGCAGCCGCGUAA
rnacentral:rRNA from 1 species